GUCCACGCCCUAAACUAUGUCAACUAGUUGUCGGAUCUUAACAGAUUUGGUAACGUAGCUAACGCGUGAAGUUGACCGCCUGGGGAGUACGGUCGCAAGAUUAAAAACUCAAAGGAAUUGACGGGGACCCGCACAAGCGGUGGAUUAUGUGGAUUAAUUCGAUGCAACGCGAAAAACCUUACCUACCCUUGACAUGUCAGAAAGAUUUUAGAAAUAAAUUCGUGCCCGAAAGGGAAUUUGAACACAGGUGCUGCAUGGCUGUCGU
rnacentral:rRNA from 1 species